UACGGGGGGGAGCAAGCGUUGUUCGGAUUUACUGGGCGUAAGGGCGCGUAGGCGGCGUGACAAGUCACUUGUGAAAUCUCCGGGCUUAACUCGGAACGGUCAAGUGAUACUGUCGUGCUAGAGUACAGAAGGGGCAACUGGAAUUCUCGGUGUAGCGGUGAAAUGCGUAGAUAUCGAGAGGAACACCUGCGGCGAAGGCGGGUUGCUGAGCUGAUACUGACGCUGAGGCGCGAAAGCGUGGGGAUCAAACAGG
rnacentral:rRNA from 1 species